AUGCCACUUGAAAAAGAUCUUCCUCAUCCCUCUCCAGAAGAGAAGAACAGGAGACACACUAAGAAGCAUCUGUUGAAGAGCCCUAAUUCCUAAUUUAUGGAUGUGGAAUGCCUAACAUGCUUUAAAAAUCACCAUGGUCUUUAGCCAUACACAAAUGGUAGUACUGUAUGUUAGCUGCUCCAUUAUCCUCUGUCAGCCUACAGGCAAAAAAGCAAGACUGGCAGAAGGAUACUUCUUCAAGAGGAAGCAACACUGA
rnacentral:lncRNA from 1 species